UGCCAGCAGCCGCGGUAAUACGGAGGGGGUUAGCGUUGUUCGGAAUUACUGGGCGUAAAGCGCACGUGGGCGGACUAUUAAGUCAGGGGUGAAAUCCCGGGGCUCAACCCCGGAAUAGCGCUUGAUACUGAACUGCUUGAGACCGGAAGAGGGUAGUGGAAUUCCCAGUGUAGAGGUGAAAUUCGUAGAUAUUGGGAAGAACACCAGUGGCGAAGGCGGCCACCUGGCUCGAUACUGACGCUGAGGUGCGAAAGCGUGGGGAGCAAACAGGAUUAGAUA
rnacentral:rRNA from 1 species